AGAAUGAACGCUGGCGGCAUGCCUAACACAUGCAAGUCGAACGAAGCCUUCGGGUUUAGUGGCGCACGGGUGCGUAACGCGUGGGAAUCUACCCCUUGGUUCGGAAUAACAGUUGGAAACGACUGCUAAAUACCGGAUGAUGACGUAAGUCCAAAGAUUUAUCGCCGAGGGAUGAGCCCGCGUAGGAUUAGGUAGUUGGUGUGGUAAAGGCGCACCAAGCCGACGAUCCUUAGCUGGUCUGAGAGGAUGAUCAGCCACACUGGGACUGAGACACGGCCCAGACUCCUACGGGAGGCAGCAGUGGGAAUAUUGGACAAUGGGCGAAAGCCUGAUCCAGCAAUGCCGCGUGAGUGAUGAAGGCCUUAGGGUUGUAAAGCUCUUUUACCCGGGAUGAUAAUGACAGUACCGGGAGAAUAAGCUCCGGCUAACUCCGUGCCAGCAGCCGC
rnacentral:rRNA from 1 species